rnacentral:rRNA from 1 species
GUGCCAGCAGCCGCGGUAAUACGUAGGGUGCAAGCGUUAUCCGGAAUUACUGGGCGUAAAGAGCUCGUAGUCGGUUUGUCACGUCGUAUGUGAAAUUCCACAGCUUCAACUGUGGGCGUGUCAGGCGAUACGGGCUGACUUGAGUACUGUAGGGGUAACUGGAAUUCCCUAGUUGUAGCGGUGGAAAUGGCGCAGAUAUCAGGAGGAACACCCGAUGGCGAAGGCAGGUUAUCUGGUCAGUUACUGACGCUGAGG